rnacentral:rRNA from 1 species
AUGCCCCGCCGCGCCGCGAAUGCAGCAGAGAUGUCCUCCCUUGCCGCGGUGGCCUGGGAAAAUGCCUUGCGGGCAGGCGAGGACUCUUACAGGCGCAUGUGUGCCCUCGUCCUUAGGCAGAUGGAUCAGAUCUCCAGGCGGGAGAGGUUGCAGGAUGACCUGAAAGCCUUAUUUGAACAGUCUACCGACGUCAUCCGGCAACUAAAUGGGAGCAAUGCGAAGCUCUGGGCCGAGCGUGACCUGCUGAGGGCGAAGAUCGUCGGAAGUGCGGAGCAGCAGGAGCAGACCACUGCCUUGUUGAAGAGGACCGGCGUCAUCGUCGAGAAACUCAUGGAUGAGAAUGCCAUGCUGAACAUCGAGCGCAGAAGGCUGGUGGAGGAAUCCGUGGAUGCUCUCAAGCAGCAUCUUGAGGACAAGAAAGAGCUCAUCGCCGCUCGCCGCGGAGACUAG